GUGGGGAAUCUUGCGCAAUGGGCGAAAGCCUGACGCAGCCAUGCCGCGUGAAUGAUGAAGGUCUUAGGAUUGUAAAAUUCUUUCACCGGGGACGAUAAUGACGGUACCCGGAGAAGAAGCUCCGGCUAACUUCGUGCCAGCAGCCGCGGUAAUACGAAGGGGGCUAGCGUUGCUCGGAAUUACUGGGCGUAAAGGGCGCGUAGGCGGACAGCUUAGUCAGAGGUGAAAGCCCAGGGCUCAACCUUGGAAUUGCCUUUGAUACUGGCUGUCUUGAGUUUGGGAGAGGUGAGUGGAACUCCGAGUGUAGAGGUGAAAUUCGUAGAUAUUCGGAAGAACACCAGUGGCGAAGGCGACUCACUGGCCCAAUACUGACGCUGAGGCGCGAAAGCGUGGGGAGCAAACAGGAUUAGAAACCCGGGUAGUCC
rnacentral:rRNA from 1 species